rnacentral:rRNA from 1 species
AUGAGACAAGCAGUUAAAAACUUUGUCCAACAGUGCCCAGUAUGUCAACUCAACAAAGCACACCAUUUCCCUUAUCCUGGUCUCCUGCAACCCCUGCCUGUCCCAGACUUUGCAUGGACACACAUCAGUAUGGAUUUUGUGGAAGGACUACCUGUUUCUGACAACAAAGACCUGAUACUGGUGGUAGUUGAUAGGUUCACUAAAUAUGCUCAUUUCAUUGGCCUUAAACACCCCAUCAAUGUCACAACAGUAGCACAAGCUUUCACUGAUAAUGUGUUCAAACUGCAUGGCCUUCCUACAGUAAUGGUAACUGACAGAGACAGAAUAUUCACCAGUCAUCUGUGGCAGAAACUGUUCCAGAAAAUGGGAGUGAAACUGCAUCUCAGCACAUCUUACCACCCUCAAACUGAUGGACAUACAGAAAGGGUAAAUCAAUGCUUGGAAAACUAUCUCAGAUGCAUGGCAUUUGCUCAUCCCAAGAAAUGGUACAAGUGGCUGUCCAUGGCAGAAUGGUGGUACAACACCAGCUUUCAUACAUCCUUGAAAAUGACACCUUUUCAAGCAUUAUAUGCAAGACCUCCUCCUCUUAUUGCUGAACUUAUGUUACCACCACCUGAAGAGGAAGAUGGGACAGCAGAGCUGGACAGAGAUACCAUUGCAGCCCAAAUCAAGCAAAAUCUCCUUAAGGCCCAAGACAGAAUGAAAUAUUUUGCUGACAAGAAAAGAUCUGACCGAACACUGGAGGUGGGAGAUAUGGUCUAUGUCAAGCUACAACCUUACAGGCACACCAGCUUAAGCAUCCACAAACAUCUUAAAUUGCACUCCAAGUACUAUGGCCCUUUUAAAGUCUUGGAGAAAAUUGGGAGAGUAGCCUACAGAUUACUCCUUCCUGAGGGUUGCAAAUUACAUCCAACAUUUCACAUCAGUCAGUUGAAGAAACAUCUGGGGCCUGAGGCAGUGCCCAACCCACAACUACCACUGAUCGAUGAUGAGGGACACAUUCUAAUACAACCUGAAGCCAUACUGCAGAGAAAACUCGUUCCCAGAGUGCAAGGAGACAUCAGCAUCCCAGUCGUGCAGUGGCUCAUCAAAUGGGUGAACUUACCAGCGGAAAAAGCCACGUGGGAAGACGCCUCGUUCAUCCAGAAGGUUUUCCCGGAGCUCCAGCCUUGA